AGCGAACGCUGGCGGCGUGCCUAACACAUGCAAGUCGAGUGAAGGCAUGAGUGUAGCAAUACACUUAUGUACUUAGCGGCGGACGGGUGAGUAACACGUGGAUAAUCUGCCCUGGGGACCGGGACAACUCUUGGAAACGGGAGCUAAUACCGGAUGUGACCACGAUGCUUGAGGGCAUUGGGGUAAAAGGGCGGCCUGCAAGGGCUGUUGCUUCGGGAUGAGCACGACCCAUCAGGUAGUUGGGGGGUAAGAGCCCACCAAGCCGAAGACGGGUAGCUGGUCUAAGAGGAUGAUCAGCCACACGGGAACUGAGACACGGUCCCGACUCCUAC
rnacentral:rRNA from 1 species